ACUAUUUUGGCAGAAAAGUGUAAUGAUUUUAGAAUUCAUAAAUGUAUAAUAUAAAUUAUAUAAAUAGUA
rnacentral:tRNA from 1 species